GACGACGCUGGCGGCGUGCCUAACACAUGCAAGUCGAGCGGGGUUGAAGCGAGGGGUAACUCGAGUUUCUACCUAGCGGCGGACGGGUGAGUAACGCGUGGGCAACCUGCCUCAAGGACUGGGAUAACAGCUCGAAAGGGCUGCUAAUACCGGAUAAGCCCAUGGCCUCGCAUGGGGCCAUGAGCAAAGGGGAAACCCGCCUUGAGAUGGGCCCGCGUCCCAUCAGCUAGUUGGUGAGGUGAAGGCUCACCAAGGCGACGACGGGUAGCCGGCCUGAGAGGGUGACCGGCCACACUGGGACUGAGACACGGCCCAGACUCCUACGGGGGGCAGCAGUGGGGAAUCUUGCACAAUGGGCGAAAGCCUGAUGCAGCGACGCCGCGUGAGCGAAGAAGGCCUUCGGGUUGUAAAGCUCUGUCUGGAGGGACGAAGGAAGUGACGGUACCUCCGGAGGAAGCCACGGCUAACUACGUG
rnacentral:rRNA from 1 species